CGUUCACGAAGAAGUAGCUUCGCUACAAAUGCGACUUCGGACGAUGAGGUUGAGCUGACGGAGGGAGAAUUCGAGGAUGAAUUAGUGGAAGACCAGUAUCUACCGUCCGACUCAGAGCUUAAGUCUGGACUUGAACUCAUGUUCCUCAAACAGCAGAGACAUUAUUGGACACGAAAAAAUCAAUCUCAGUAACAAGAUGAUGGGAUAGAUUAUCAACCAUCGGCGGUACUAGAGGGUUCCAAAGGGGGGGCAUCACAAUAUUUAUACCCCCUCCCCCAAUCCUUCCCCCCCAUGAGAAAUCCUGGAUCCAUCUUAAGAACCUUGUUAAUGUGAACAGCUCAGGUUUGUUAUUGACCGCCCCAUCAAGUCAACCAUUAUAUCCUUCAUAUAUUGUGCAUAACAGAUAGUAUAUAGGUGACCGGGGUUCGCAAAAACUUUGAGGUGAAAUUCCCAUAGAUAAUAAACCACCAUCGAUUCUGAUUUUUCCAGGAUAGGAUUUUCAGAAAUAUCAGACUGGCUGAAUCUAGCAGAAUAAACUAUGUCUUACAUUGUU